GACGUAGGGCGCGAGCGUUGUCCGGAUUUAUUGGGCGUAAAGCGCGUGUAGGCGGCUCGAUAAGUCUGCUGUGAAAGUCCAAGGCUCAACCUUGGAAUGCCGGUGGAUACUGUCGAGCUCGAGUCCGGAAGAGGCGAGUGGAAUUCCUGGUGGUAGCGGUGAAAUGCGUAGAUAUCUGGAGGAACACCGGUGGCGAAGGCGGCGAUCCUGGAGCCGGCAUUCGGACGCGUGACGGAGCGAA
rnacentral:rRNA from 1 species